UUGACUAAUACUAAUUACCCGUGUCUUUGGCCAUAUUUUUGUCUUCCUUAUAAAAACCCUGGUGGUUAAAGAAAAGAGGAAACACCUGUUAUCAUUCCGAACACAGAAGUUAAGCUCUUAUUCGCUGAUGGUACUGCGAGUUCGCGGGAGAGUAAGUU
rnacentral:misc_RNA from 1 species